rnacentral:rRNA from 1 species
UACAGAGGUCCCGAGCGUUGUUCGGAUUCACUGGGCGUAAAGCGUGCGCAGGCGGUGAUGUAAGACCGAUGUGAAAUCCCCGGGCUUAACCUGGGAACUGCAUUGGUGACUGCAUUGCUGGAGUAUGGCAGAGGGGGGUAGAAUUCCACGUGUAGCAGUGAAAUGCGUUGAUAUCCAGCGGAACUCCGGUGGCGAAGGCGAGGUGCUGGACCCUUUCUGACGCUGAUGCGCGAAAGCCAGGGGAGCAACGGG